AAGAAGGCUUUCGGGUUGUAAACCCCUUUCAGUUGGGACGAAGCCUCGUCGGUUAAUAGCCGCGCGGGGUGACGGUACCUUCACAAGAAGCACCGGCUAACUACGUGC
rnacentral:rRNA from 1 species